UACGUAGGGUGCGAGCGUUGUCCGGAAUUAUUGGGCGUAAAGAGCUCGUAGGCGGUCUGUCGCGUCUGCUGUGAAAUCCCGAGGCUCAACCUCGGGCUUGCAGUGGGUACGGGCAGGCUAGAGUGCGGUAGGGGAGAAUGGGACUCCUGGUGUAGCGGUGGAAUGCGCAGAUAUCAGGAAGAACACCGAUGGCGAAGGCAGUUCUCUGGGCCGUAACUGACGCUGAGGAGCGAAAGCGUGGGGAGCGAACAGG
rnacentral:rRNA from 1 species